AAAACUAAUAAUCUACAAGUUUAGCUGCAAAAAACAGGUUAAACAACAUUCACACUGCCAUGUUGGUGUCGUCGUCUGUAGGUAAAGCUGAGAGUAGACCUAAACUUGGUACACCGGAUCUUCACCACCCGCAAGACAGCUGCUAGGCGUCGGUCCAAAGCAUGGAGGUGUGGCUCAGAGAGUAAGGGUGCCACAGCUUCCAAAAGAUCCUGGGACAAAGACUCCCGCAUGACUUUGCUUAGGCGGAAGUCUGGACCGGACAAGAGGCGCAAGCGAAGGAGCGUGGAGCGGCGGAUCCUGGAAAGUUUCCCUCUUACACACAUGCCUAUGUGUGCUACAGCUUCAUUCCACACUUACCACUGACUGUCACUACUGAUGCCCUCUUUGUCAUCACCCUCAUCGUCUGUGGGCUCAUUUGUCUUCACCCGAAGCAGCCAGUCGUCCUCUAGCAACUCUGGUUCUGGCAGGUUGUACAGCGGGUGGUGAAAAAGUGCUUCCAGCCUGGAGGCAUUCUUGACGACUUUUUUGGCACAAAUCAGUUUCUUCUCUGCGCCAAUGGCCUCAGGCAGCCUGGUCGCAUUUAGCUUGUGAUAUUUGUCAUUCUCUGAAUUUAUCGAUAGUUUAUGUGGAUAGGAGGGGACUGGAUUUUCCUCCCGGGUAUCUGUUCUCGGACUAAUGGAUGCCGAAUAGGAGUUGGGUAGAACGCAGGCUGUCUGAAGGACAGCGAGACAAAAAAAUGCCAGAAUGAGGUGCAGCGCAAGGGACAGACAGGCCAGACAAAUAUACACAGAACGAGUAGUUGGACCCAGGUUCCGUCUCACCAUGCUGCAAGAUAGAGAGAAGAAGAAGAAAAGAAUGAGGAACACUUUGAAACCAAAGAGGGUGCUGAGCCUUGCCCACUUCAAACCCAAUCAUGAUGAAAUAUGUUCUUAUUGCAUUUCUAACAGGCUUGGACAUAAUCUGCUUUGGUCUCCUCAGUUUACAUCUCAUUGAAGUUUUCUUUCAUUUUACUCUUUUUUAUUUUUUUUUCUUGCACUAAAUUGGAGAUGCAACAAGGAAUUGCUAUGGCAGAUUUUUAGGACAGAAAGUCCACUCAUUUUCAUUUACUGACAAGCACUAACUCGAUGAAAGUUGUUGUUGCCAGGGCAACCCCAGAUCACCUACUUGUUAAUGGUCAAUGAUAUUGGUUCACCAGCCAAGGCACACUUCUUUAUAGUGCUAAUGUUGGUGUUCGGAUUCAUUGAAAGAUCACUGCGUAAAAGCUGAUAAAAUUUGGUAUGUACUGCAUUGACCUGAACAUAAGACUGCUCCAAAUAUAAGAAUGCCAUUUUU